rnacentral:rRNA from 1 species
AACGCUAGCUACAGGCUUAACACAUGCAAGUCGAGGGGCAUCAGGAAGAAAGCUUGCUUUCUUUGCUGGCGACCGGCGCACGGGUGAGUAACACGUAUCCAACCUGCCCUUUACUCGGGGAUAGCCUUUCGAAAGAAAGAUUAAUACCCGAUAGCAUAAUGAUUCCGCAUGGUUUCAUUAUUAAAGGAUUCCGGUAAAGGAUGGGGAUGCGUUCCAUUAGGUUGUUGGUGAGGUAACGGCUCACCAAGCCUUCGAUGGAUAGGGGUUCUGAGAGGAAGGUCCCCCACAUUGGAACUGAGACACGGUCCAAACUCCUACGGGAGGCAGCAGUGAGGAAUAUUGGCCAAUGGGCGAGAGCCUGAACCAGCCAAGUAGCGUGAAGGAUGACUGCCCUAUGGGUUGUAAACUUCUUUUAUAAAGGAAUAAAGUCGGGUAUGGAUACCCGUUUGCAUGUACUUUAUGAAUAAGGAUCGGCUAACUCCGUGCCAGCAGCCGCGGUAAUACGGAGGAUCCGAGCGUUAUCCGGAUUUAUUGGGUUUAAAGGGAGCGUAGAUGGAUGUUUAAGUCAGUUGUGAAAGUUUGCGGCUCAACCGUAAAAUUGCAGUUGAUACUGGAUAUCUUGAGUGCAGUUGAGGUAGGCGGAAUUCGUGGUGUAGCGGUGAAAUGCUUAGAUAUCACGAAGAACUCCGAUUG